CUUCUGAAGGGAAAAUUUAUUGCCUUUGUAGCUACAUGCUGGUGCGCUGCUGGGCUGUAUUCCAGGGACUUGGCUGCUAAGGUAAUGUGCCUGUAGCUAGCCUCCUUCCCAGACAAAAUUGUGUAUGGGGGAUUAUUCUUAUACUAGUUUUUUCUCUUGCAGAUGGAUAAGUCUGGCAAGAGAAAAAGGAAAUCGAGGCAUUUAAAGUGUUCUGGCUGUGAAGAGUUACUACCAGAUAACUGGGAUAGCAACAAAUGUUCUGCAUGUUCACAAUCUGUUCCUGGGUCUCAUGACAGUGAUACAAGCCAUUUUCUUAACUGGUUUAAAUCAUUUAUGUUAAAAGCUGUGGAUGAGUAUAAAGGUUCUCCAGUUCCCACUUUACAUCGUGCCUCCUUAAAUAAAGAUUCUGUCUCUGAUGAGGAAUCAUCUGGAGAGAUUGUCUCCAGUUCUGCUUCAACAUCUGAACCCCAUACAUCUCAAAAAGAGGAUUUUUUUCUCUUUCCUGUUGAAAAAAUGCCCCGGCUGUUAAAAGAAGUUUGUAAAGUUAUAUCACCAAGGGAUACUGUUCAAGCGGAUCCCAACACUCAGGAGUUCCCCUUUUUUGUUCAAAAAAAGGCAUUGAGUUUUCCGGUACAUCCUUCUGUCAAAAAUCUUAUUGAACAGGAAUGGAAGGAUCCGGGGAAGAAACCAGAAGCUUCUAAACGGUUUAAACUUAUGUUUCCCUUUGAGACAAAAGAUGUUGAAGAAUGGGAAAAUCCUCCCAAGGUGGAUGUUCCCGUGGCAAGAUUGUCUAAAAGAACAACAAUUCCUGUAGAGGAAGCGGCAAUAAAGGACCAGAUGGAUCGUAGGGCAGAGUGUGCCUUGCGCAGGUCUUAUAUUUCAGGGGCUUCAAUCUGUAAACCCUCUUUAGCUGCUGUCUCAGUAUCCAGAUCUCUAAAACAUUGGCUUAAUGCGCUAGAAGAGGAUAUAGAUUCUGGGACCUCAAGAGAUGUCCUUCUGGAUAUGCUUUAUCCAAUAAAGCUGGCAACAGAUUUCUUGUGUGAUGUUGCAGUGGAUACUUUAAAACUGGGGGCCAGGACUAUGGCCUUGUCUACAGCAGGCAGGAGAGCCUUAUGGCUUAAAGCUUGGGCGGCAGAUUCAGCUAGUAAAAAUACUCUGAUUUCCAUGCCUUUCAAACCUGGGAAACUUUUUGGCUCAGCCUUGGAUAAACUAAUAGAAAAUCUGUCUACUGGAAAGGAUAAAGUGUUGCCGCAAAAUAAACAAAAGUCGCAGUAUAGGUCGUCCUUUCGUCCAUCCUUUAAAAGAUCUUCGCCUAAGUCCAAUGUUUCCAGAAGAAAUAACUUCAGAGAUGGAAACAGAUACACUUACAGAAAUUUCAGAUCAAGACCCUUUAGAUCUCAGACAUCCAAAGAUCCAACUCAAAGAAAGGAUUCUUCCUCAAAGAAGCCAGAAUUCUGACGCCAGAAGUCAGGGAGAAGUGGGAGCAAGGUUAACCCAAUUUCUCCCAGUGUGGGAAAAAACAACUUCAGACUCUUGGGUUUUAAGCAUCAUAAGAUCAGGCUACUUCAUCAAUUUUCAAAGGAAGCCAAUUCCCAAAGGCAGACAAUCUAAAGCAGCAGGCUUUAGAGAAAGCAGUCAUGGAUUUCCUAAAAAUGGGAGUUCUGGAACCCGUUCCCCGGUUGGAAGAAGGGUUAGGUAUUUAUUCCCGAAUAUUUCUGGUUCCCAAACCAGACGGAAGGUUCAGGCUUAUUAUAGACCUAAAGUACCUAAACCAGUUCAUUCUAAAGGAAAAGUUCAGAAUGGAGACCAUCAGGUCAGCACUGAGUAUUCUUCAGAAGGGAGAUCUGAUGAUUACCUUGGAUUUGAAGGAUGCUUAUCUUCAUGUUCCUAUUCAUCUGACCAGCAGGAAGUUUCUUCGCAUAGCGAUUUUUCUGAAGGGGAAAGUUCUUCAUCUCCAAUUCAGGGCUCUUCCAUUUGGGAUUACUUCCGCUCCAAGGGUUUUCACAAAACUAAUUGUUGUGCUAGCAGCUCAUUUGAGAAAGCAGGGAGUUUUUGUGAUUCCUUAUCUGGACGACUGGCUGAUCAAAGCUUCAUCAGUAGCUCAGUUGAUCAAUCAUAUGAAUCUGACCAUGGAAGUAUUGACAAAUCACGGCUGGAUAAUAAACAAAGAAAAGUCAAAUCUUCGUCCGUCAACUUCAACCAUUUUUCUAGGUCUCCAGCUAGACACAUGCCAAAUGAAAGUUUUUCUUCCAGGCGAGAAAGUUCUAUCUCUCAGAACGGCAAUAAAAUCAUUAAUUCAAUCACGAUCUGUGACUAUUCGUCAAGCCAUGAGAGUGCUGGGGCUGAUGACAUCAUCUCUGGAAGCUGUCCCCUGGGCCAGAGCUCAUAUGAGAUCUCUUCAGGAAGUAAUCCUAAAGAAUUGGGACAAGAAUAUUCUAUCACUAGACAGGUUCUUUCAUGUGAAUCUUCAGUUAAAGAAAGAUCUGAGAUGGUGGUUGAGCGGUCACAAUCUAACUCAAGGGAAAUCUUUUCAGACUCCAGAGUUUCUUCGGUUGACGACGGAUGCAUCCGCAUCAGGUUGGGGUGCUCACCUUGGAGGUCAGGUGGUCCAAGGAAAGUGGUCAUAUUGGGAAAAAAGUCAAUCUUCCAAUUUCAGAGAAUUGAGGACAGUCCGUCUAACUCUUCAGAAAUUCAGAGACAAGAUCAAGGGUUGUCAAGUCCUCAUUCAGUCGGACAAUUCUACAACAGUAUCCUACAUAAACCGUCAAGGAGGAACAAGAGCCCCUCUGUUGAUGAAGGAAUGCAGGAAACUGAUGUUUUGGGCCGAAAAUCAUCUGAAGAUGAUCAGAGCUGUUCAUAUAAAAGGAGAAGAGAAUGUGCUGGCAGACAGACUCAGCAGGAAAACUCUAAAUCAGAGCGAGUGGGAACUCAAUUCUCAGGUUUUUCUCAAGAUAGCUCAGAUGUGGGGCUAUCCAUCAAUAGAUCUGAUGGCCUCCAGAUCCAACAGGAAGGUUCCUCAGUUUUGCUCCUUGGUGAAAUCAGACAAUCCCAAUUACCUGGAUACAAUGAACAUUCCUUGGAAAUUCCAUCUUUGUUACAUUUUUCCUCCUCUUCCGAUGAUCCCAAGGGUGAUUCAGAAAAUCAGACAGGACAAAGCAGCAGCAAUCCUAAUUGCCCCAUUCUGGCCGAGAAGAGCUUGGUUUACGGAUCUAAUUCGCCUGAGCAAGGGGUGUUUUUGGAAGUUACCAAUGAGACCAGAUCUUCUCCUUCAAGGUCAGAUGUUCCACCCAAAUCCAGACAGAUUAUGUCUGACAGCUUGGAGAUUGAUAGGGACAUUCUAACUGUCCAAGGUCUUUCAGAGGAAGUAGUUGAUACACUUCUGAACUCCAGAAAAUCUUCAACUUCUAGAAUUUAUAGAAGAAUUUGGAAAGUUUUUCAAAACUGGGCUCUGGAGAAGGAAAUUGUUCCUAAAGAAUGUUCAAUUCCCAAUGUUCUUCAGUUUCUACAGGAUGGCUUUUCUAAAGGACUUAAGCCAAAUACACUAAAGGUUCAUGUGUCAGCCCUAUCAGCUAUGCUUUCAGUCAAUCUUGCCAAUAAUCAGUUGGUUAAAAGAUUUUUCAAGGCUGUUUCAAGACUAAGGCCAAGAAUCAAGGAAGUUUUAGCCCCGUGGGAUUUAAAUAUUGUAUUAUCUGCGUUAGGCGAAAAACCCUUUGAACCUUUACAAGACAUCAACAUAAAACAUCUAACCUGGAAAACUACCUUUUUGAUUGCAAUUUCCUCAGCAAGAAGAGUGGGUGAGCUGCAGGCCUUGGCAGUAGGGCCUCCAUAUACUCAAAUUUUUCCAGAUAAAGUUAUCCUAAAAACCUUGCCCUUUUUCAGGCCAAAAAUCGCUUCAUCUAACAACCUUAACUCACAGAUUGUGCUACCUUCCUUUUCAUCGGAUUCUCAAAAAAAGUUGCAAUCCUUAGAUGUGCGCAGGUGUUUGUUGCUGUAUAUCGAGAGAUCAAAAGAAUUUAGAAAGUCAGAACAUCUAUUUGUCCUUUUUGCGGGAAAAAGAAAAGGUUGUAAAGCUUCUAAACCGACUAUAGCAUCCUGGGUAAGGAAUGCUAUUUCCUGCUCUUAUGAUUCUGUUGGGAAAGAUCCUCCUUCUCAAUUAAAGGCUCAUUCAACAAGAUCAAUCUCUACUUCCUGGGCGGAAAGAUCGGCCAUGGAUGUGCAAGAAAUUUGUAAAGCAGCCACCUGGUCCAACGUCCACACGUUUGCCAGACACAACAGACUUGACUUAGCAGCCAAGCAGGAUGCAGCCUUUGGCAGUUCGGUGUUGGAGUCGGCUUCUAUGAGGCAAAAUUCCCCCCCCCCCAUUGUUAGCUUGCUAUAUCCUUCAUUUGGUGCUGCCUGUAGGACGUAAAGAAAAGAGAAAAUUUGUUCCUACCUGAAAUUUUCAUUUUCUUGAGUCCGAAAGGCAGCACAUAAUCCCUACCCUAAUAAAUUCAUUUGCAUGAGAUGGUGUGGUCUUUUCUUGAGCUUUUUAAAAACACUGGAGAAUAAGGGGGAGUUAAGAGGUAUUUAUAAUGUAUUUAAUUGGUUAUUCUAUUUCUCCUGUCCUACCAGAGUGGAUCAGACAAUUAACCCUUCAUUUGGUGCUGCCUUUCGGACUCAAGAAAAUGAAAAUUUCAGAUCAGCUACGGAGCCACGGAUGUCACUUUCACUGACAGAAGGAGGUUCCCAUACAUCUACCGAACGGUCCCUAAUGAAGGAUAUUUCUAUCAAGCUCUCAUUCAGCUGCUGAAGCACUUUGGUUGGACCUGGGUGGGAAUGUUGAUAGCAGAUAAUGAAGCAGAAUAUAUAAAGAGACAACUAAUAGAGCUGAUUACAAGCAAUGGGAUGUGUGUGGAAUUUGCUUAUGGAUUCUUAUGGGAUGGCAGGUUCGAUGACAGAAUAGUUCAUAGGAUUUUAAGAACAACUUCCAGAGUUGUCAUAAUCAGUGAUUCCACCAAUUUAUUUUGGCCAAUAUUGAGACAGGUUAAGAUUGCGUCUAGCUUUAAAAGAACUUGGAUUUUCUCAGUCUCAUCUUCAUUUACGGAUUAUAUUCUCGAAUAUGAGAUUGCGGAAUUCUUUGCUGGAAGUUUGGCUUUUCCAGUAGCUGCUAGAGAAAUGGAUGGAUUUCAGGAUUUUUUAUUCUCUGCAAACCCUGAUCGGUAUCCAGAAGAUAUAUUCAUUGAAGCCGCAUGGCUGGAGUUUGUAAGUGACCUAU